rnacentral:misc_RNA from 1 species
AUGGUUUAUAUAGGAUCAGGCAAUUGUCCUGGUGCCUGUGAUUUCCUCUACUGUUUGCGUUAGGUUGUGUGUGAUCUGGGAACUUUUGACCAUUUGGUGGUCAUAUUUUGUCUAUACUUUUUUUCAUUCUGGAAACAUAAGCGGGCGUGGGCUUUGAGAGGAAGAGAGGAAUGGAGCAGUAACCUUCUUAGCUACGUUACACAGAUUAUGAAAUUAGCUAAUAUGCAUAAUCAGAAUAAUCAUGUGGCAGGAAUUGCAAAAACCGUAGGUUUGUUAUUUGGGAUGGCAAAAUGUCAGUUCAAAGCAGAAUGCUCUUGCCAUUGUUCCUCUUCUAAUUGAAACAAAAACAGCAUUGAAGAACUUAAAAGGCAAGGCCAGGCCCUCUUUCAGGUAAAGAAACGAAAAAAAAUUGGGACCAAUAAAAAUCUCUUCCUCAAAACAAUUUAGUGCCACCUACUAUCAACUUAAUUUAGAUCAUUUUCAUAACGUGCUGAAAUAAAUCCCAGUAAGCCACUGUCCUCUCGAAUUGUCAAGCAAUUUGUCAUGCGCUGAAGCUCAUGAAA